rnacentral:rRNA from 1 species
CGGCGAGUGAAGCGGCAAUAGCUCAAAUUUGAAAGCUGGCCCCUUCGGGGUCCGCGUUGUAAUUUGUAGAGGAUGAUUCGGCGAGGGCUCCCGUCUAAGUCCCCUGGAACGGGGCGUCAUAGAGGGUGAGAAUCCCGUAUGUGAUGGGUUGCCUUAGCCAUGUGAAUCUCCUUCGACGAGUCGAGUUGUUUGGGAAUGCAGCUCUAAAUGGGAGGUAAAUUUCUUCUAAAGCUAAAUACCGGCCAGAGACCGAUAGCGCACAAGUAGAGUGAUCGAAAGAUGAAAAGCACUUUGGAAAGAGAGUUAAAAAGUACGUGAAAUUGUUGAAAGGGAAGCGCUUGCAGCCAGACUUGUCCGCAGUUGCUCAGCCGGUCUCCUGACCGGCGUACUCUUCUGCGGCCAGGCCAGCAUCAGUUCGGGCGGUCGGAUAAAGACCUCGGGAAUGUAGCUCCUCUCGGGGAGUGUUAUAGCCCGGGGUGGAAUGCGGCCAGCCUGGACUGAGGAUCUCGCUUCGGCUAGGAUGCUGGCGUAAUGGCUGUAAGCGGCCCGUCUUGAAACACGGACCAAGGAGUCUAACAUCUAUGCGAGUGUUUGGGUGUCAAACCCAUACGCGUAAUGAAAGUGAACGGAGGUGGGAACCCUCACGGGUGCACCAUCGACCGAUCCUGAUGUCUUCGGAUGGAUUUGAGUAAGAGCAUAGCUGUUGGGACCCGAAAGAUGGUGAACUAUGCCUGAAUAGGGUGAAGCCAGAGGAAACUCUGGUGGAGGCUCGCAGCGGUUCUGACGUGCAAAUCGAUCGUCAAAUUUGGGUAUAGGGGCGAAAGACUAAUCGAACCAUC